rnacentral:rRNA from 1 species
CAUGCAGUCGAACGGCAGCAUAACCUAGCUUGCUAGGUAGAUGGCGAGUGGCGCACGGGUGAGUAACGCGUAGGGAUCUGCCCUAGAGCGGGGGACAACUCGGGGAAACUCGAGCUAAUACCGCAUAAACUCUUCGGAGCAAAGGAUGCCACUACAUGUAAGCAUUCACUCUAGGAUGAACCUGCGUCCGAUUAGCUAGUUGGUAGGGUAAAGGCCUACCAAGGCGACGAUCGGUAGCUGUUCUGAGAGGAAGAUCAGCCACACUGGGACUGAGACACGGCCCAGACUCUUACGGGAGGCAGCAGUGGGGAAUAUUGGACAAUGGGGGCAACCCUGAUCCAGCAAUGCCGCGUGUGUGAAGAAGGCCUGCGGGUUGUAAAGCACUUUUAUUAGUGAGGAAAAGGCUUUGUUGAAUAGACAAAGCUGUAGACGUUAACUAAAGAAAAAGCACCGGCUAACUCUGUGCCAGCAGCCGCGGUAAUACAGAGGGUGCAAGCGUUAAUCGGAAUUACUGGGCGUAAAGGGCACGUAGGUGGCACAAUAAGUUGGUUGUAAAAGCCCCGGGCUUAACCUGGGAAGGCCAAUCAAAACUGUUGAGCUAGAGUACAGUAGAGGGUAGUGGAAUUUCCGGUGUAGCGGUGAAAUGCGUAGAUAUCGGAAGGAACACCAGUGGCGAAGGCGGCUACCUGGACUGAUACUGACACUGAGGUGCGAAAGCGUGGGUAGCGAACAGGAUUAGAUACCCUGGUAGUCCACGCCGUAAACGAUGACAACUAGCCGUUGGGCAUAUUAAUGCUAAGUGGCGCAGCAAACGCGAAAAGUUGUCCGCCUGGGGAGUACGGCCGCAAGGUUAAAACUCAAAGGAAUUGACGGGGGCCCGCACAAGCGGUG